rnacentral:rRNA from 1 species
GACGAAGGAUGCAAGCGUUAUCCGGAUUCAUUGGGCUUAAAGGGCGCGUAGGUGGACUGAUAAGUCAGUGGUGAAAUCUUUGGGCUUAACCCAAAAAUUGCCAUUGAUACUGUUGGUCUUGAGUACAGUUGCUGUGGGCGGAAUAUGACAUGUAGUGGUGAAAUACAUAGAGAUGUCAUAGAACACCGAUUGCGAAGGCAGCUCACAGAGCUGUAACUGACACUGAGGCUCGAAAGUGCGGGGAUCAAACAGG